rnacentral:miRNA from 1 species
GGGCUAUGUCCACAGGCACGGCCAGUUUGAGCAUUUUCACUGAAUUGCCAAACCAGUUGUGCCUGUAGACACAACCUU